UACGGAGGAUGCGAGCGUUGUCCGGAUUUAUUGGGUUUAAAGGGUGCGCAGGCGGAUUUUUAAGUCAGCGGUCAAAUCGUGGGGCUCAACCCCAUCCAGCCGUUGAAACUGGGGAUCUAGAGUGUGCGAGAGGUAUGCGGAAUGCGUGGUGUAGCGGUGAAAUGCAUAGAUAUCACGCAGAACCCCGAUUGCGAAGGCAGCAUACCGGUGCACAACUGACGCUCAGGCACGAAAGCGUGGGUAUCGAACAGG
rnacentral:rRNA from 1 species